rnacentral:lncRNA from 1 species
UACCUCACCCUUCUAGAGGCCUGCACCCAGGAGGGGUGACUUGGCUCAUCCACCAUGCAGCGUGGGUGCCUCGGGGAACCAACGUGUCCCGUGAAUGCCGUGAUUUAUACAUCUUAUAGAUGCAGAGUAUCGGGGGUAUAUUAUCCUACGGGAAGGUGAAGAUAAAAUCGGGAACUGCUGAUUCCCAGGGCCCCCGUCCCUUCCUUGCUCCCCUGAGAGCAUUUAAUCUAGUGCCAGCGUUUUACCAGUCUCCUCAGGACCUGUCCCUUCCAGACCCUGUAGUCUUCAUUUUCCAAGUGAUGCCUGAUUUUUAAUGCUGUGUGUGUGAAUUUUUAAAAAAUAUUUGCUGCUUUUACAGUUAAUCCUCUUUUUCUGAAAAAUGCCUGUUGGUUUGGGCUAUGAUCUCUGAUCGCACUGUCAUACUGACAUAUGUGGACUUUUUUAAUCUUGAGGGAUGAAUAGGAGGUGAACAACGAAAGGUCAGGUGAAGAAUCCUGACAGUGGUCUCCGGAGUUUGAAAAGGAAUAGUUUCCUCAUUUGUCAUCUCAUGUGAUGUGCAAACUAGAAUUUAGUUUGUAUUGAAUGGAAGAUGCUGUCGAAGAUUUGAGUACUUGUUAUGGCUAAAAAGCUCUGAAUCACAGAGGAGGGAUUGUACAAGUCUCACAGAUACAUGGGCUUGGUUUUUCGCUGUUCUUGGGAUUUCAUAUGUCUAGUGAAACUCUGGGCAGUAACUAACGUCAUCUGGACCAUUACAGAGACCAGGUGACCAAUUUGUUUAGAGCUGAAACCUUGUAACUCCCCACCCUGAGCAGAACAGAGCGGACACCCUGAAGGGAAUCCAGCUGCUCAGCGGAGUUCGAGCGAGAGAGUUUGCUGCAUUGAGAGAAGGAAUGUAAAGUGCAAAGGCAUGAGCAGCACUAAUGGUAUAGUCAUCACUCAAGCACAGGAGGACCAUGUCCAUGAGACUGAGCUUGCGGCUGGGUCUCACCCAUCCUUUGGUAUCUGUUGCUGACCACCGUGACGCAGGAAUGCAGCGAAGGUCAAUUCCCCUGGUGUUUAUUUUCACUGCUUUGAGGAACAUGCCCAUAAAUUAUAGUUGAAGUGGAAGAGAGGAGAGAUGUGGUGGAGAAAAGAAGAGAAAGACCAACAGGUCAGUCCUCCAGUGGACACUCCUUUUUGCUUCAGAUUCUUUGAGGUGAAAGGGACCUUACAGGUAAUGGGAUCCACUUCUCCCUCUUCCCCUGCCCUGUGCCCCCUAUGUUGAGAGAACUGCUGGUGGGUAGGACCCUGGCUGACUCAGUGUUUUGAGGGUCCUGCCGUGUUGUUGAGACCUUGCAGAACAUUCUGUGAACAUUCUUCAUACCUGUCAUGGAUUUUGAUGUAGAUUUCAUUUUCAGAACACACUGAUGUGAUAAUACAAUGUUUUUAGUUAGCUGAUAAAUAAAGACUUUUAAAAAACA